rnacentral:lncRNA from 1 species
UCAUCCAAUCCGAUUUAAUCAAGUUUGUAAGUGUAGGUUAUUUCGAUCAUAGACUCAUCCUUUUAGUGAUUUCAUCUCAUGGCCGAAUGGUAUAAUGGCCAUAGGGAUAAUUAUUUUAUUUUAUUAUUUAUUUAUUUUCAUGCUAAUAUUGUUCCUUAAAAUCUUUGAAGGACCAAAUGAUAAUCAUUGGGGAGACCCCUAAUUUCGCAUUGGAAAUCAUCUUUUCAAGAGUCCAAAAUCGUGGGGUAAAUGUUAGUGAGGCUAUUAGUAACCAAUUUAUUAGUGAUAAAAAUACCUUAUAAACGUUAUUCGUGUUAUUAGAUAUGCCUUUCGAGUUAGAUAAAAGUGAAAUCAAUACUAAGGUUGUGGCAUUUUGGAUCUACAAUAAAAGGUGUGGGAUCGAUUCUACUUAUCGUAUGUAAAAUAGUUAUUUUUGUUUAUUAAUAACUUAAUUAUAAUUAUUUAUGAAUACACUAAGUAUUCAAAGAGGAGUUGAAAAACUCAUUACAAAGGACCCAAGUAAGUGAAUCUAACUAAAAUACAUUUUGUGAAAUGCAUGAGAAAUGUGAUAUGAUGUGAUUAUUGCUAUGAUAAUGAUGUAUGU